AUUGAACGCUGGCGGCAGGCCUAACACAUGCAAGUCGAGCGGAUGAAGGGAGCUUGCUCCUGGAUUCAGCGGCGGACGGGUGAGUAAUGCCUAGGAAUCUGCCUGGUAGUGGGGGAUAACGUCCGGAAACGGGCGCUAAUACCGCAUACGUCCUGAGGGAGAAAGUGGGGGAUCUUCGGACCUCACGCUAUCAGAUGAGCCUAGGUCGGAUUAGCUAGUUGGUGGGGUAAAGGCCUACCAAGGCGACGAUCCGUAACUGGUCUGAGAGGAUGAUCAGUCACACUGGAACUGAGACACGGUCCAGACUCCUACGGGCGGCAGCAGUGGGGAAUAUUGGACAAUGGGCGAAAGCCUGAUCCAGCCAUGCCGCGUGUGUGAAGAAGGUCUUCGGAUUGUAAAGCACUUUAAGUUGGGAGGAAGGGCAGUAAGUUAAUACCUUGCUGUUUUGACGUUACCAACAGAAUAAGCACCGGCUAACUUCGUG
rnacentral:rRNA from 1 species